GUGUAUCGUGUGACAGAAGAUGUUCAUGGUUUGACUUUCUACUCUGUGUUUUUGUGCUCGAGUCGUGUCAAUAUAUAUAUAAUAGAUCAGGAUUCUUCUACACAACAGAUGAUGUGAAUGUUUCUGCACUUCACUCAUUUAUUCAAGAGUGAAGAUUGAUGAAGAUGAUGAAGAGGAUGUGUGACGGAUCAAAUGUGGAUCAUCAGAAGAUCAAUCAUGAGCACAAACAGAAACACUCACAAUCUAAUGAAUCAACUGAGAAAACAUCAAUUAAACUUCAGCGUCGAAACAGCAAAGAUAUAAUUUCAGAAUUCUCUCAUGAUCCACACAAAUCUGAGAGUCAUUCAAUGAGAGAUAUUGACGUCCAGACGGCAUUCCGGGUCACGUCAUCAGAGCAUACAUGACCCAACUGCUGGUGUUUUAUACAGACAUUAUCAACCCGUCCCUCUCCUUGUCUGUAGUCCCCACAUGCUUUAAAACGUCCUCCAUUGUGCCUGUACCAAAUCAAUCCAAAAUCACUUGUUUAAAUGACUGACGUCCUGUUGCUCUGACCCCAUCAUCAGCAAAUGCUUUGAGAGACUAAUCAGAGAUCACAUCUGCUCUGUGCUGCCCGCCUCACUGGACCAACAACCGCUCCACUGAUGAUGCCAUUGAUCUACACUACACACUGAUCUCUCCCACCUGGAGAAAAGGAACACAUAUGUGAGAAUGCUGUUUGUAGACUACAGCUCAGCAUUCAACACCAUAGUGUCCUCCAAGCUUGAUGAGAAACUCCGGGCUCUGGGCUUAAACAGCUCGCUGUGCAGCUGGAUCCUGGAUUUCCUGUCAGGCAGACGUCAGGUGGUUCGAAUGGGCAGCAACACCUCCUCAUCACUGACCCUCAACACUGGAGCCCCACAGGACUGUGUUCUCAGCCCACUCCUGUAUUCACUGUACACACAUGACUGUGUGGCAACACAUAGCUCCAAUGUCAUCAUUAAGUUUGCUGACGAUACGACGGUGUUAUGUCUGAUCACUGACAAUGAUGAAACUACAGAGAGGAGGUGCACACUCAGACACACUGGUGUCAGGAGCACAACCUCUCCCUCAGCGUCAGUAAGACCAAGGAGCUUGUGAUGGACUUCAGGAGGAAAGACGGAGAACACAGCCCCAUCACCAUUAAUGGAGCACCGGUGGAGAGAGUCAGCAGCUUCAAGUUCCUCGGUGUCCACAUUACUGAGGAACUCACAUUGAGGCCGUUGUGAAGAAGGCUCACCAGCGCCUCUUCUUCCUGAGACGGCUGAGGAAGUUUGGAAUGAACCAACACAUCCUCACACGGUUCUACACCAGCACUGUAGAGAGCAUCCUUAUCUCUUGUGCAGAACUUCACAGAAAAGUUUCCUUUAUAUUCUCGAGAGGAAGUGAUGCAUACCCCGACACACAAUGACAGGCACACACAUUUCCUGUGGCUUCUAUUUGUGGUUUGAUGGUGGUUAACUGCUUUAUAACAGAGUCAGAACACACACCACCGGUUUAUCAUGUUAGCAGUUUUGAAAGUAAAGUUCAUGUGCAAACUGCGAAACAUUUAUGAAAUAUAAUAAUAAAACAUGUUUUCAUUUUACUUUGUGUCGUAUCAAAUGUGAUUGUGUCUGCUGCUUUUAUUUGAACUGAUUGAUUUAUAUGUGUGUAAUAACUGUGUUAUUACAGACUGAUUCAGUUCUACAAGUGUUCACUUUAUAAAUGCUAAACACUUUUAUAAA